rnacentral:rRNA from 1 species
AGAGCACUGUUUCGGCAAGGGGGUCAUCCCGACUUACCAACCCGAUGCAAACUGCGAAUACCGGAGAAUGUUAUCACGGGAGACACACGGCGGGUGCUAACGUCCGUCGUGAAGAGGGAAACAACCCAGACCGCCAGCUAAGGUCCCAAAGUCAUGGUUAAGUGGGAAACGAUGUGGGAAGGCCCAGACAGCCAGGAUGUUGGCUUAGAAGCAGCCAUCAUUUAAAGAAAGCGUAAUAGCUCACUGGUCGAGUCGGCCUGCGCGGAAGAUGUAACGGGGCUAAACCAUGCACCGAAGCUGCGGCAGCGACGCUUAUGCGUUGUUGGGUAGGGGAGCGU